rnacentral:lncRNA from 1 species
ACUAUGUAGCCUCUCGUAUUCCCAAUCAGAACCAAAAACCAAAAAUCAAAUUCCAUCCUAUUUAGACACCCAACGUUCUCGUCAGGUCUAAAUCCGAUCACAGAUAUAUAAGAUAAAAUUAUCAGACAAUGUAAGUAUAUAAUCGUCUCUAAUACCAAAUGUAAUAAUAUAAUUUAUUGGACCCAAACCACCAGUCCAAAAUACUUAAGUCCGAUUAUUAUUAUUAUGAUGUAUAGCUUUUUAUAUUUUCAAUCAGAAUCUCUUUCCAAUUUGAUGUGAGACUAUAGAAGGUGUUACAAAAAGAGCAAGAAA